CACAUGCAAGUCGAGCGAUGAAGCACCUUCGGGUGUGAAUUAGCGGCGAACGGGUGAGGAACACGUGAAGAAUCUGCCUUCAACUCUGGGAUAACUCCGGGAAACCGGGGCUAAUACCGGAUAUGAGCCUUGAUCGCAUGAUCGGGGCUGGAAAGUUUUUCGGUUGAAGAUGACUUCGCGGCCUAUCAGCUUGUUGGUGAGGUAAUGGCUCACCAAGGCGACGACGGGUAGCCGGCCUGAGAGGGCGACCGGCCACACUGGGACUGAGACACGGCCCAGACUCCUACGGGAGGCAGCAGUGGGGAAUAUUGGGCAAUGGAGGAAACUCUGACCCAGCGACGCCGCGUGAGGGAUGAAGGCCUUCGGGUUGUAAACCUCUUUCAGUAGGGAAGAAGCGAAAGUGACGGUACCUACAGAAGAAGCACCGGCUAACUAUGUGCCAGCAGCCGCGGUAAUACAUAGGGUGCAAGCGUUGUCCGGAAUUAUUGGGCGUAAAGAGCUCGUAGGUGGUUCGAUACGUCGGAUGUGAAAAUCAGGGGCUCAACCCCUGACCUGCAUCCGAUACGGUCGAGCUAGAGUUUGGUAGGGGAGACUGGAAUUCCUGGUGUAGCGGUGGAAUGCGCAGAUAUCAGGAGGAACACCGAUGGCGAAGGCAGGUCUCUGGGCCAAUACUGACACUGAGGAGCGAAAGCGUGGGGAGCGAACAGGAUUAGAUACCCUGGUAGUCCACGCCGUAAACGAUGGGCGCUAGUUGUGCGAACCUUCCACGGUUUGUGCGACGCAGCUAACGCAUUAAGCGCCCCGCCUGGGGAGUACGAUCGCAAGAUUAAAACUCAAAGGAAUUGACGGGGCCCCGCACAAGCAGCGGAGCAUGCGGCUUAAUUCGACGCAACGCGAAGAACCUUACCAAGGCUUGACAUAUAC
rnacentral:rRNA from 1 species